UCAAGAAUGUAUCAGCGUAUGGUGGAUGCCUUGGCGCCAGAAGACGAUGAAGGACGUGCAAAGCUGCGAUAAGCCACGGAGAGCGGCAAAGACGCUUUGAUCCGUGGAUUUCCGAACGGGAUAACCUGCUUCAGAUCAACCUGGAGCGCGACGCGUAAUAAACUGCGCGUACGAGUCAUACUUGGGGAAGUGAAACAUCUCAGUACCCAAAGGAAAAGAAAGCGAACGCGAUUCUGCCUGUAGUGGCGAACGAAAGCAGAACAGCCCAAACCGGGAUCAUCUCCCGGGGUUGUAGGACCUCCGACAUGAAAGCACUUGGUUAGGUGAAGCUUCAGGAAAGCUGCUCCACAGAGGGUGACAGGCCCGUAACCGAAAACUAAGUAUGCUCUAGGAGGCACCUGAGUAAUGCGACACACGUGAAACUUCGCAUGAAUCCACGCCGACCACGGCGUAAGGCUAAAUACUCACUGGCGACCGAUAGUGAACAAGUACCGCGAGGGAAAGGUGAAAAGAACCGCUGCGAGCGGAGUGAAAGAGCACCUGAAACCAUACGCUAACAAGGUGUCAGAGCCCUUUAUGGGUGAUGGCGUGCCUUUUGCUUAAUGAGUCUGCGAGUCGGUCUUUGUGGCAAGCCUAAGCUCUUAUGGAGCGCAGGCGCAGCGAAAGCGAGUCCCAAACGGGCGAACAUAGUCACAAGGGCCGCACCCGAAGCGGUGGUGAUCUACCCUUGGCCAGGUCGAAGCGUUGGUAACACGACGUGAAGGACCGAACUGGUGAAUCUUGAGAAAUUCUCGGAUGAGCUGAGGGUAGGAGUGAAAGGCUAAUCAAACCCCGUGAUAGCUGGUUCUCCCCGAAAUGUAUUUAGGUGCAGCGUCAUGGAUAAAGCGAGGGGGUAGAGCACUGAAUGAGCUAGGGGGCAUACCCGCCUGCCAAACUCAAUCAAACUCCGAAUACCUCGCCAUGUACCAUGGCAGUAAGACUGUGGGGGAUAAGCUUCAUAGUCGAAAGGGAAACAACCCAGCCUAGCAGCUAAGGUGCCCAAAUGUAGCUCAGUGGAAAGGAAGUGGAAUUUCAUUGACAGUGAGGAUGUUGGCUUAGAAGCAGCCACCAUUUAAACAGUGCGUAAUAGCUGACUCAUCGAGAGGUUCCGCGCCGAAAAUGAUUGGCGAUAAGCUACAUACCGAAGCUCUAGACUUGAGAUCGUGCGGUCUCGAUUGGUAGGGGAGCGUUCCAAACCGCGGCGAAGUCUGAAGGUGACUGACGAUGGAGCGUUUGGAAGUGAGGAUGCAGACAUAAGUAACGUCAAGGCCGGUGAAAUCCCGGCCCGCCGUAAACCCAAGGUUUCCUGGGCAACGAUGUUCGUCCCAGGGUUAGUCGGGACCUAAGCCCAUGCCAAGCGGCGCAAGCGAUGGACAGCAGGUUAAUAAUCCUGCACCGAUGGUUUUUAAGCAAUGGUUGCGACGCGUGCUGUAAACAAACAGACCUUAUUGACUUGGCAGGAAGGGCCUCGGCCUGACCGCGUUUGUGAAAGUGCGCCAAGAAAACUCCAUUGUGUUUCUGCCAUUGCCCGUACCGCAAACCGACACAGGUGGGUGAGUAUAAUACACUCAGGCGUAAGAGUGAACCCUCGUUAAGGAACUCUGCAAUUUAGCCCUGUAAUUUCGGAAGAAAGGGUGCCCACUUCGGUGGGUCGCAGUGAAAGGGGUCAACCGACUGUUUAUCAAAAACACAGCAUUGUGCGAAGACGCAAGUCGACGUAUACGAUGUGACACGUGACCAAUGCGGAAAGAUUAAGGCAAGGGGUUAGCGUAAGCGAAGCUCUGAACCCAAGUCCCCGUGAAUGUCGGCCGUAACUAUAACGGUCCUAAGGUAGCGAAAUUCCUUGUCGGGUAAGUUCCGACCUGCACGAAUCGUGUAACG
rnacentral:rRNA from 1 species